UCGAGAAUUUUUCACAAUGGGCGCAAGCCUGAUGGAGCGACGCCGCGUGGGGGAUGAAGGGUUUCGAUCCGUAAACCCCUGUCAUUUGCGAACAAACCUUGAUUGUGAAUAGCGAUCGAGCUGAUUGUAGCGGAAGAGGAAGGGACGGCUAACUCUGUGCCAGCAGCCGCGGUAAUACAGAGGUCCCAAGCGUUGUUCGGAUUCACUGGGCGUAAAGGGUGCGUAGGUGGUCGGUGAAGGUCGGUGUGAAAGCUCGGAGAUCAACUCCGAAACGGCAUUGAAAACUCAUCGGCUGGAGGGUAGGAGGGGAGACUGGAAUUCUCGGUGUAGCAGUGAAAUGCGUAGAUAUCGAGAGGAACACCAGUGGCGAAGGCGAGUCUCUGGACGACUCCUGACACUGAGGCACGAAAGCCAGGGGAGCAAACAG
rnacentral:rRNA from 1 species